rnacentral:rRNA from 1 species
UACAGAGGGUGCAAGCGUUGUUCGGAAUUACUGGGCGUAAAGCGCGUGUAGGUGGCGAUGUAAGUCGGGUGUGAAAUCCCUCAGCUUAACUGAGGAAGUGCACUCGAUACUGUGUCGCUUGAGUGUUGGAGGGGAUGGCGGAAUUCCCGGUGUAGAGGUGAAAUGCGCAGAUAUCAGGAGGAACACCGGUGGCGAAGGCGGAUCUCUGGGCCAUUACUGACGCUGAGGAGCGAAAGCGUGGGGAGCGAACAGG